rnacentral:rRNA from 1 species
AUUGAACGCUGGCGGCAGGCCUAACACAUGCAAGUCGAACGAGUGGCGGAAGGGUGAGCAAUGUCUGGGAAAGUGCCCGAGGGAGGGCGAUAACUAAUGGAAACGGUAACUAAAAACGCACACCAGAGGAUGUGCCCAGUUGGGAUUAGCUAGUGGGUGGGGUAACGGCUCACCUAGGCGACGAUCCCUAGCUGGUCUGAGAGGAUGACCAGCCACACUGGAACUGAGACACGGUCCAGACUCCUACGGGAGGCAGCAGUGGGGAAUAUUGGACAAUGGGCGCAAGCCUGAUGCAGCCAUGCCGCGUGUGUGAAGAAGGCCUUCGGGUUGUAAAGUACUUUCAGUGAGGAGGCGUUACUCACAGAAAAAGCACCGGCUAACUCCGUGCCAGCCGCCGCGGUAAUAC